UGGGGUAUAUUGCACAAUGGGCGCAAGCCUGAUGCAGCCAUGCCGCGUGUAUGAAGAAGGCCUUCGGGUUGUAAAGCACUUUCAGCGGGGAGGAAGGCGGUGAGGUUAAUAACCUCAUCGAUUGACGUUACCCGCAGAAGACCCACCGGCUAACUCCGUGCCAGCAGCUGCGGUUAUACGGAGGGUGCAAGCGUUAAUCGGAAUUACUGGGCGUAAAGUGCACGCAGGCGGUCUGUCAAGUCGGAUGUGAAAUCCCCGGGCUCAAACUGGGAACUGCAGUCGAGACUGGCAGGGUAGAGUAUUGUAGAGGGGGGUAGAGUUCCAGGUGUGGCGGUGAGAUGCGUAGAGAUCUGGAGGAAAACAGGUGGGGAGGGCGGCCGCCUGGACAAAGACUGACGAUAAGGUGCGAAAGCGUGGGGAGCAAACAGG
rnacentral:rRNA from 1 species